GGGGGAAGGUCCCUCGAUGGAGAUUGUACCAGGCAAAUCCAUCAAACAACCCUAAGCUGCUGCAAUAAAGAGUUGUGGUAGUAAGCGUCUAGGGAAAAGGUUGUAUUAAAACAAUCAUG
rfam:Bacillus azotoformans LMG 9581 contig42, whole genome shotgun sequence.